rnacentral:lncRNA from 1 species
AAAAUACUGAAACGAGGACAAGAAAAUCAGGAACGAGGCGCUUGUCCCCGGAUGAGUCCCCCGCGGAUCCCGGUGAGCAGAGCCUUUGCUGGGAGAACUGUGGGGACUGGUGACCCACAGGUGAGCGGCACGGAGCGCGCGGGUGAGCGGCACGGAGCGCGCAGGUGGGGGCGAGGCGGAGUUUCCUUGGCUGCUGCCGCUUUCAGAACCUAAUCUUCCCCAUUAUCCGAUAAGCUAGAGACUGCAUGUUGGAUAUAGUGUUUCUUUAGCUUUAAGAAGACAGGAAAUGAUCAAGAAAACUGUGAUCUCAGUGUGCCCUCAGAUUCAUCUCCCACCCGGCUCUGCUCUCCCUGGCGUUGAGGCUGACCCUCUUC